CAGGCCCCAGCUGGUGAUUAUUCUUAUCAAAGGGGGUGGUGAAGGGGCGUGCCACUCACUGGUUUCCCUGGUAACUAAUGAGCCAACUUGACACAACCGGUCAUUUCUCUGACCUGCCCCCUCUCAGUGAAGACUUCUGCCACAUCCUGCCCGCAGUCUGCCAAACACAGUGGGGUGUCGCUCCAGGACCUUGCUUCAGACAUGUCAGCUCCCUCAUCCAUCAAGCCAUUGAUGUUUCUAGGGGGUUGGAAAAAAGAGAUUAGAUGAAGUUUCCCUGGACUGGGAGAGGAGGCGAAGAGUCAGAGGGAAGCCAAAGAGCUACAAAUCUGGAAGGUGCUAAGAGGAGGUCUGAGCUACAGAAUGAGUCUGAUCUCAGAAGAGAUGCCUGUGCUGGAGAGGACAGUCUAUGAGACGUCAAAUUACAGGAAGCAUUUAAAGACUGGGGAAUGGAAAAGACAAACAAGGUAAAGUGUGUAAGGUGGGUGUGCCAAGGGAGUGAGUAAAAUGUAAAAACAGGGCCAGGGACUAAGCCAUGAGAGGUAAAGCUAAGUAGAAAAGAAGCCAAAUAUGAUUUAGGUGCAGUGCUAUUACACAUGAGCAUGAGCCAAGUAGAAAUGGAAACAUCUAGUAUAAUGUGAAUAUAAGGAACUCGGAAACAAAGGACCUCUUUUGGGUUGCACCCUGCAGGCCUGCAAGCCUUGCAGUGGCCCAGCCUCUAGGUGAAGAAAGAGCCUGGGGAUAGCAACAGAGACAUCAGUGGUUAAUUGGAUAGGGGCUCUUACAGGUCUGAAAUAAAAGGGUCCUAGAGUGACACUACACCUCAGCAGGAAGGACAUGGAAGCAAUCUUUGCUACCUGAGAAAGAAGGAGGCUACCAUUGGCCAGGGAAAUUGGCAACAGAUUGGCUCAUCAGUUACCAGGGAAACCAGCAGCCAAGGGACGUCCCUCACAACCCCUCUGGUUAACCACCAUCACAAGGCCAGAUGUUUCCUAUUAAUAAACUAGCAGGUGCAGCCAUUCUGGCCUAAGGAUUAGAAUAGUCACUGACUGGGGCAAAGGGCAGGCAUGUCUGUGUGAGGAGUUGUGUAGGGGAAGCAGGGACUGGUCAGACAGGGGAUUAUAAAGAGCAAGAGAACAGCAUCUUGAGUGGCCUGACCACACAACCUCCCUUCCAUUUCUAUUUUAAUGGAGCCUAAAAAUUUAAUUUUCUGUUUAGUCUUGUUAUAAGCCAUUUUGUGGCUGCUGAUUACUCAUUGGAACCUUUUCAUCCAAAGACCUAAAAGAAAGUCUGGGGUUAUUUGACAUUGAAGUGGUUUGGUGGCUGGAUUUUCAGUGGUGAGGACAGAAGGCGGGGCAUAGUUGACCUUGAACCAGAUGAUGAAAUGUCUUCUAAGGUAUGUUAAGAAGGUUAGACUUAAGAACAAGGCGCCAUUAAAAAGUAUUAAGCAAAGGUGAAGCAUGAUCUUUAGGCAUUUUAGAAAGGUCACUCUUGAACAAUGCAGAGAAUGGUUUGGAAAGGAGCAAAACCAGAAGGUCAGGCACUGGUAAGUGUAUUUGCAGCAAUGACUCAGGAAAGAAGAGGCCAUGGCAGGAGAACUGUGCAGAUUCAAGCAAUGGCCAUAGUGAGAAGGGGAUGGGACUCAGUGAUUGACCAGAUAAAGAGGGAAACAGAAAAGAUGACACCAAGCUUUCUGGUUUGUUGUCAGACUAGUUGGUACCUUUAAAACAUUGCAUUUUUCCUAAAACAUAUUUAUACUCCACACAGCAUUCUUGAUGCUUUCUAUAGCAGUAACCCUUUGCUUUUUUAAUAUGUUCUCAUCCUGUCCCUUGAUGAAUGCAUGCAGUCAUUAAGUAGCUCAAAUGGAAAAUAAAGAUGCAGAUUUACUUCAUUUGGGCUCAGUUUUCUGGGCCCCAGACCUAGACAGAGGAAACAAAUUCUAUUACCUAAACCACAGAAGCUGAAAUCCUCUAGACAAAGAAGAAAACCCCCUAGUGAUUGACUUGGUCUCUGCAUCACCUGGGUUAACUAAGCAUAACAUUAUUAAUAUGCUAGACCUUAUUCACAAAAAAAUUUAGCUCAUUGUUAUGAGAAAGAGCCCAUGUUUCAAACAACAAUAUUUGUAAUAAAUAAGAAUCCCUUGACAAACUCUAUUAAACCUCACUUGAAUCUCUAAUAAUGGAGAAGGUUUCCUAAUGACCUAGCUCAACACUGCUGGUUGCAUGUUGACUUGAUUUGCAGCUAUACACAAAUAUACAUAAAUAAAUGGGUGGCUACCUCCUUGGUGGGAGCUCAGGGACCCAGGGGAAGGCAUUUUUACCUGUAGAUAUCUUCGCCAGCUGUCAUGCUGUUUACAGUUAUCCCAGUCAUCAUUUGUUUCUUCUUCCCAAUUCCUCUCCUCCUAGUCUCUCUUGAACCUAUUCCUAUCCAUCACUCCAUGGUAACUAGUCAUCAAGGUCACUGAUCUCCAUUUGUUAAAUCCCAUGGUCAAGUCUCAGUCCCUGUCUUACAUGUGACCCAUCAGUUCUCAAUCACUAUACUCGAUCAUCCCCCCUCCUUUUUUUUUCUUGCUUUUUAGGGCUGCGCUCAUGAC